ACACAUUUUAAGGUAGGAAGACAUCAAGGCAUGUCCGAAUCCAAUGUUAGCUUCACUUCCUGUUUCCUGAGAUACCUUCAUCUGGCCGCGUUUUGAAGGAAGCAUAGAUGUAUCCAUAUGCCGCGUUCCAGGCAACCUGUAACUCGUGUUUUUCCAACCUUCUACCCGUGAAAGUGCACUGGAAUAGCAGUCAAAGCCGUGACUUCCCACCCGUGAACUAGAUCGAUGUACUCCCAGUUACGAGUUCUGACGUCACAUAGCCCGUGAAACAACAAUGGCAGCCCCUACGGAUGCCGUGUUUAUGCAAGUGCACGGUAAAAUAAAAGGUAUAACAGCUUCUCUUGCCUUAUGUGCUGUUUUCCUUCUCUGUUUCCCUUAAAUAAGCAAAGAGUAAGCACCUUUGGCGAUAGAAAUAAUUAAUGAGCAUAAGCCCCGUACGGUCCGCCAUGUUGGUUUGUUUACACUUUUACGCAGUUUGGCGUGACUUUCCUGGAACGCUACAAAGUCGUGAGUCGUAUUUUGAAAUCGUGACUUAUGGGCUCAAAAACCUGCCUGGAACGCAGCAUUAGCUGCCUUUGAUAUCCCACAAUCCUGUGCGCAUUCGUCAGAGGAGGAGUGGCUUUAUUAGUCGAUUCUGCAGGAGUUUCAGAAAAAUGGCAUCAGAGAAUGCGACUGAAGCGCAGUUUUUGUACAAAUGUAAGUGUUAUUUUCACUUUCGACACAUUUUGAUGGUGUUUCUAUCGAGAAAUAACUGUAGUACUUGUUUAGUACAGAAAUGUUUGCUUGGUUAUCGCUGAAGCACUCUGUAUUAACAUUUCAUAUUAAAUUUUGAAAGGGUCAUCUGAGGACACGGCCGCUUUCAUUACGGCCCGGGUUGAGAAUGAGGCGGCUUUCACUGGCCACAAAAACAGCGCCGUGACCGGCUGGAAGUAAAGUUGUUGAACAGCACUUCAGUUCUUAACGAAGGCUUCUUUUAUGUUAAUGUCACAUUAUUGUUAGUGUACAUGCUUAAGCUUUAUGAUGUACCUUUGACUUAUAAUAUAAUGUAAUGUACAGCCAAAGCAUACUUUACGAAAAUGAAGAAAUGGCUUUAUUGUAGUUGAAAUGUCCAAAACAUUUUUUUAAAAAUACUAUGGUUAAACUACGGCUACUUGAGACACAAAAAACAUAUUUGAUUUGGGGUUACCAUGGUUUAAAUAUAUCAGUCAUGCCGUCUUUUUUUGUACUUUCAGUAAAAGCAUACAACUAGGCUUUCAAAUCUUUACUCUCACUAACAUUUUUCUAGAAAAGAGCUUCAGAAAAUUGGCCUGGAUGGGAAAGUCACUGCUCAACAGGCAAGAAAGAAGUGGGAUAACUUAAAACAAAAAUACAAGGAGCUGAAAAACCCACCUACUGGCUCAGGGGUGGACAAGGGAGAGGACGCUGCUGCAUCAUGGCCCUGGUUCACCCUAAUGGAUGAGGCUUUGUGUCAGAGGCAUUCCAUUACUCCUCCAGUGCUGCGUGCCUCAAUGCCCCUGGCCUCUUUCAGUAGCGGUGAACCAGGGCCAUCAAAUUCUUCUAAACUUUAUUUCUUUGCUUUUGAUUACUGUUACUCUAAAAUUUUCAGUCUACUUCUUUAAAUUAUGUAGGAUGAAUAUGAACCAGUCUUGAAAAUAAUUUUUGCUGUUGAAAUUACUGAGACUGUAGUUAUAUAGUGUCCUAGAAAUAAUGAAAAAAUAGGCCAACUCAGCUAACUUUUCAGAAGCCCUUAAAAAAACAAAGUCAAAAUGGAGUAAAACAGUUUGAUCUCCUUGUAACAUAUAAUUUACUAUACAAAUUAUUUUCCUUAUGUUUCUCGCUCUUUUUUAUAACAAACUUACUUUCUUUUUUACUAUGAUGACAAUAUAAAAAUGUACUGCAUUGAGGAAAUAAUUUAAGUAUGGUGGCGUAUUGCUGCCACAUGUUGUUUCCACUCAAUAAUAUUGUUAUUAUGAGAUAUUUUGUUUAAGAAGUAUGGCUGCUGCAAAACAAUUCAGUUCAAUUCACAUUUAUUUGUAUACCGCUUUUCACAAUACAUAUCGUUUCAAAGCAGCUUUACAGAAAAUGCAUGCAUAUACAUUACAAUUUAGAUUCUUCUUUUAUUAGAGGUGACUGUGUCCAUUUCAGAAUUGUAAAUCAUGCAGUUAGCUAACAAUGUAUUAGUUUAAACAAUGUAUUAAUUUAAAGCAGAAACAGUGAGUUCAAUGAAGUGAAGAAUACAUGUUGUUAGCAAAUGAUUAUGAUAUAUAGAAAAAUUCAGCAUUGGUGCAUGUUGAUUCAGUAUGCAUAAUCUGAAGUCCUGUCAGGAUUUGAAGUGCUCUCGAGUUGUCUCUGCACUGGUGUCGGGACAUCUGAAGUCCUCGCAGGAGUUGGCGCCGUCUUUUCACAGGUAUUGAGGCAUCUUAAGUCUUCAUCAGAGGCUGGAUCCAAACUGGAGCUGACAUACUCCCUAGUUACCUCGGGAUGGGCAUCCCUAAAUUAAACAGAAAAGCAAAUGGAAAAAUAUAGCUGGAAGGAGCGAUUAAGGGGCCAAGCACAACAGAAGCUAGCAGCAGACCAACAGUGUCAUAAUGGACUAAGAUAGCAACUGAGACAAUUACACUGCAUGUCAAUUA